rnacentral:rRNA from 1 species
UACGUAGGGUGCGAGCGUUGUCCGGAAUUAUUGGGCGUAAAGGGCUCGUAGGCGGUUUGUCGCGUCGGGAGUGAAAACCCAGGGCUUAACUCUGGGCUUGCUUUCGAUACGGGCGGACUAGAGGUAUGCAGGGGAGAACGGAAUUCCUGGUGUAGCGGUGAAAUGCGCAGAUAUCAGGAGGAACACCGGUGGCGAAGGCGGUUCUCUGGGCAUUACCUGACGCUGAGGAGCGAAAGUGUGGGGAGCGAACAGG